GGGAGGCUUGCACAGGUGCUGCAUGGCUGUCGUCAGCUCGUGUCGUGAGAUGUUCGGUUAAGUCCGCUAACGAGCGCAACCCUCGUCGUGUGUUAUACGUGUCACACGAUACUGCCGGUAUCAAGCCGGAGGAAGGUGGGGAUGAUGUCAAGUCAGCAUGGCCUUUAUAUCCUGGGCUACACACACGCUACAAUGGCAGAUACAAUAGGUUGCGAAACCGCGAGGUGGAGCCAAUCCUCAAAGUCUGUCUCAGUUCAGAUUGUAGGCUGCAACUCGCCUGCAUGAAGUUGGAGUUGCUAGUAAACGCAGGUCAGCUAUACUGCGUUGAAUACGUUCCCGGGGUUU
rnacentral:rRNA from 1 species